GGUUCCGGUGGCGCUGACGACUGAAAGACAAAGAACGUGGGGGAAAGAACCCCCACCACACCCCACCCCUCCCGCCCGUGGCCCGCGCUCACUCGGGAGGGUGAACAUCCCCGGUCCGGCUGGAUUUCGGGGCCCGCCAGGCCCGAGGCUCGGCCCAACGCAGGACCCACACCGACAGACACGCGACGGCCCCCGCCGGGACGGCAGUCCCAGGGCGAGGGCCUGACCACCGAGGAAGCGAGAACCUUCCCG
rnacentral:ncRNA from 1 species